ACGGGUGCGGAACACGUACGCAACCUUCCUUCAAGCGGGGCAUAGCUUUCGGAAACGAAAAUUAAUACCCCAUAGUAAUAUCUGAGGGCACCUGAGGAUAUUUAAAGAUUUAUCACUUGAAGAUGGGCGUGCGCCUGAUUAGGUAGUUGGCGGGGUAACGGCCCACCAAGCCUACGAUCAGUAACUGGUGUGAGAGCACGACCAGUCACACGGGCACUGAGACACGGGCCCGACUCCUACGGGAGGCAGCAGUAAGGAAUAUUGGUCAAUGGACGCAAGUCUGAACCAGCCAUGCCGCGUGGAGGAUGAAGGUCCUCUGGAUUGUAAACUUCUUUUAUCGGAGAAGAAACCCCCGAGUUCUCUUGGGGUUGACGGUACCCGAUGAAUAAGCACCGGCUAACUCCGUGCCAGCAGCCGCGGUAAUACGGAGGGUGCAAGCGUUAUCCGGAUUCACUGGGUUUAAAGGGAGCGUAGGUGGGCUGGUAAGUCAGUGGUGAAAUCUCCGGGCUUAACUCGGAAACUGCCGUUGAUACUAUCAGUCUUGAAUGUUGUGGAGGUAAGCGGAAUAUGUCAUGUAGCGG
rnacentral:rRNA from 1 species